CACCCGGCGAAUUUAAGCAUAUUACUAACCGGAGGAAAAGAAACCAACAGGGACGUCCUCAGUAGCGGCGAGCGAAGCGGACGAUGCCCAAACCGAACCGCGGUUCCCGAGGGGCCGCGGAGUGUGGAGAGGAUGAGCUCGCGAGGGGGCGGGACGGGUUCCAAUCCGUCUGGAAGGGCGGAGGCACGGAGGGCGAUUCCCCGUACGUGCUCGGUCCGUCCCCGACGAGCGAACGCAUCGGAGAGUCGGGCCGCUUGAGAGUGCAGCCCGAAUGGGGUGAUAGGUCUCAUCCAAGGCUAAGUACGUGGGAGACGCCGAUAGCGAACAAGUACGGCGACGGAAAGGUGAAAAGAACCUCAAAGGGGGGUCAAAAGCGCUCGAAAUCGUAGAGGGGGAAGCGGGACCUGACCGACGAGACCUCGUCGUCGCUCGCGCUCGACCCACGCUUCGUCGCGGAGUUCCGGAGGGC
rnacentral:rRNA from 1 species